rnacentral:tRNA from 1 species
UCGGGAUAGCUCAGCUGGUAGAGCAGAGACUGAAAUUCCCCUUUUCACCAAUUCA